CAUGCACCUGAUCAAAUUACGCUAAAUCAAAUUACACUUGAUUAAAUUGGGCCCGAUAAAAUUACACCUGAUGAGCCACGUCUUCGGAGAUAAAUAUAUAAUACAGAGGAAGUACUUGGGUUGCAUAUUAUAAUAUAACAGAACAAUAAUUGCAAUGCGUUAUGGAUUAUCCUAUAUAUGUAAUGAAUAAUCUCUUAUCUCUCUGCAAACAUUGUUCUUACUUUUAUGGUGUAGGAUCUGAUGUACCUUCAGUGUUCUAAUUAGCUAUAUCACUGCAUGCCAUGUUUAAGAACAUCAUUCAAGAAUGCUAUGAUACAUGGUAAUGACGUUCUUACUAUUUUGUAUCUUGUUGUGCUGAAUAAACUUGUAUGUGAAUGUUACUAAAAAGUUUUACUCUA